rnacentral:rRNA from 1 species
UUAAAAGGAUGGAAGGAGAAAAUACUUUCAGUACAAGGUAAAGAAAUUCUAUUGAAAUCUGUUGCACAAGCUAUUCCGUCCUAUGCCAUGUCGGUAUUUAAAUUGCCUAAAGGAAUUUGCAAAUCAAUUACCGAUGAGAUAUCGGGUUUUUGGUGGGGAGAUGAAGAAGAAAAGAGGAAGAUGCACUGGUUUGCCUGGUGGAAAAUGUGCGUUCCGAAGAAGAAAGGUGGAAUGGGGUUUAGGGACCUUCACAACUUUAACCUUGCUAUGUUAGCAAAGCAGUGUUGGCGACUUCUUCAAAACCCUGAAUCUUUAUGUGCGCGAGUCCUAAGAGCCAAGUAUUUUCCGGAUGGUGAC